rnacentral:rRNA from 1 species
CGAGCAGUUGGUGGAUGCCUUGGCGCACAGAGCCGAUGAAGGACGCAGAAAGCCUGCGAUAGUCCCCGGGGAGUUGCAAUCAAACAUUGAUCCGGGGGUUUCCGAAUGGGGCAACCCCUCCCACGCAGGUGGGAGACUCCUGUCUGAAUACAUAGGGCAGGAGGGGGAAUCGAGGGAAGUGAAACAUCUCAGUACCUCGAAGAACAGAAAGCACAAGCGAUUCCGUUAGUAGCGGCGAGCGAAACCGGAACAGCCUAAACCAUUGCAGCGCAUAGCGUGCAGGCGUUGCUGCAGUGGGGUUGUAGGACCGACCAGUCCAGGUUGCACCCUGGAGCGGGAGUUACAAACGUUCUUGAUAGUCGAACCCCCUGGAAAGAGGGGCCAUAGCGGGUGACAGCCCCGUAGACGAAAUCAUGAGCACUCCUGGGUAGGUUCCUGAGUACCGCGGGACACGAGAAAUCUUGUGGGAAGCUACCACGACCAUGUGGUAAGGCUAAAUACUCUGGCGACCGAUAGUGAACUAGUACCGCGAGGGAAAGGUGAAAAGAACCCCGGAAGGGGAGUGAAAGAGAAUCUGAAACCAAUUGCUUACGAGCGGUAGGAGCCCUAUGUGACGCAAGUCACAGGGUGACUGCAUGCCUAUUGAAGAAUGAGCCGACGAGUUAUUGCAACUAGCGAGGUUAAGGGAGAUCCCCGGAGCCGCAGCGAAAGCGAGUGUGAAUAGCGCGUUAGUUAGUUGCAGUAGACCCGAAGCCGGGUGAUCUACCCAUGGACAGGUUGAAGGGGCGUUAACCCGCUCUGGAGGACCGAACACGUUAGGGGAAAAAUCCUAUGUGAUGAGCUGUGGGUGGCGGAGAAAUUCCAAUCGAACCCGGGAAUAGCUGGUUCUCUCCGAAAUGCAUUUAGGUGCAGCGGCAGGUAAUUAGUGUGUGGGGGUAGAGCACUGAAUGGACUAGGGGCCUCACCAGGUUUCCAAACCCAAUCAAACUCCGAAUACCACAUAUCUGUAUCCUGCUAGUGAGACUGUGGGUACUAAGAUUCAUAGUCAAAAGGGGAACAGCCCAGACCGUCAGCUAAGGUCCCUAAGGUAAGCUAAGUGCUAGAGAAGGAUGUGGGGUUACUCAAACAGCCAGGAGGUUAGCUCAGAAGCAGCUAUCCUUUAAAGAGUGCGUAACAGCUCACUGGUCGAGUGAUCCUGCGCCGAAAAUGUAGAGGGGCUAAGUUUUACACCGAAGCUGCGGAUUUCGCCGUAAGGCGGAGUGGUAGGAGAGCGUCCGUGUUGCAGAGAAGGCAUACCGUAAGGAGUGCUGGAGCGUCACGGAGUGAGAAUGUCGGCUUAAGUAGCGCAUAAACGAGUGAGAAUCUCGUUCGCCGGAAAUCUAAGGUUUCCUGGGGAAGGCUCGUCCUCCCAGGGUUAGUCGGUCCUAAGGCGAGGCCGAAAGGCGUAACUGAUGGAUAACGGGUUAAUAGUCCCGUACUGUCAUGCUUCGUUUGAAGGAUGGGGUGGUACAGAAGGAUAAGCUGAGCGCGACCGAUGGUAGUUCGCGUCCAAUCAGCGAGGGUGGGGAGAAUGGCAAAACCGUUUCCCCGUAAGCCUGAGCUGUGAUGGGGAGCCGCAAGGUGAAGCAGCUGUGUUCAUGCUGGCAGGAAAAACCUCUCACGAGAAGUAUGGCAACCGUACCGCAAACCAACACAGGUAGAUCGGGAGUAGACUCCCAAGGCGUGCGAAAGAACCCUCUUUAAGGAACUCGGCAAAAAGGUCCCGUAACUUCGGAAGAAGGGAUGCCUCACGCAAGUGGGGCCACAGGAAAUAGGCUCAAGCGACUGUUUAACAAAAACACAGGUCUCUGCUAAGUCGUAAGACGACGUAUAGGGGCUGACGCCUGCCCGGUGCUGGAAGGUUACAGAGAGGAGUCAAGGGGAUUCGUCCCCUGAAGCCCUGAACUUAAGCCCCAGUGAACGGCGGCCGUAACUAUAACGGUCCUAAGGUAGCGAAAUACCUUGUCGGGCAAGUUCCGACGCGCAUGAAUGGCGUAACGACUUGAGCGCUGUCUCAAAGAGGGAUUCGGUGAAAUAGCAGUGCCCGUACAGAUGCGGGCUACGUGUGGCAGGACGGAAAGACCCCGUAGAGCUUUACUGUACUCUGAUAUUGAAGUUUGGUUGUAGCUGCACAGGAUAGAUGGGAGACUUGGAAACUGGGGCUUCGGCUUCAGCGGAGUCGUCCUUGGGAUACCAUCCUUCUUCAACUCGACUUCUAACUCCUCGCCCUCAGCGGGCUGGAGGACAAUGUCAGACGGGCAGUUUGACUGGGGCGGUCGCCUCCCAAAGAGUAACGGAGGCGCCCAAAGGUUCCCUCAGGCUGUUUGGAAAUCAGCCAUAGAGUGUAAAGGCAUAAGGGAGCUUGACUGUAAGAGAGACAUCUCGAGCAGACACGAAAGUGGGGCUUAGUGAUCUGGUGGUUUCAGCAUGGAAUGGCCAUCACUCAAGGAAUAAAAGCUACCUCGGGGAUAACAGGCUGAUCCCUCCCAAGAGUCCACAUCGACGGGGGGGUUUGGCACCUCGAUGUCGGCUCGUCCUAUCCUGGAGCUGGAGCAGGUUCCAAGGGUCCGGCUGUUCGCCGGUUAAAAGGGCACGCGAGCUGGGUUCAGAACGUCGUAAGACAGUUCGGUCCUUAUCCGCCACAUGUAUUAGAGAUUUGACGAGAUUUCCCGGUAGUACGAGAGGACCCCGGGAAGUCGACCGCUGGUGUACCAGUUGUCCCGCCAGGGGCACGGAGCUGGGUAGCUAUGUCGACAUUGGAUAAGUGCUGAAGGCAUAUAAGCGCGAAGCCAACUCGAAGACGUGAUCUCUCAUCGUCGCAAGACGAGGUAGACCCCUGGUAGACUACCAGGUUGAUAGGCUGGAGGUGUAAGCACAGCAAUGUGUUGAGCUGACCAGUACUAAUAGGUCGGGGACGUAAUU